UGAACGUGUUGUAGCAUUUAUCAGGGU
rnacentral:piRNA from 1 species